GAGUUUGAUCAUGGCUCAGAACGUACGCUGGCGGCACGCCUAACACAUGCAAGUCGAACGAAGUAGCAAUACUUAGUGGCAGACGGGUGAGUAACAUGUGGGUAUCUGCCCUUUGGCCUGGAAUAACACGAGGAAACUUGUGCUAAUACUGGAUAAGUCUUUACGGAGAAAGCUUUAUGCACCAUUGGAUGAGCCCGCACUUGAUUAGUUUGUUGGUAGGGUAAUGGCCUACCAAGACUUUGAUCAAUAGCUGAUUUGAGAGGAUGAUCAGCCACAUUGGGACUGAGACACGGCCCAAACUCCUACGGGAGGCAGCAGUGGGGAAUCUUGCACAAUGGAGGAAACUCUGAUGCAGCGAUGCCGCGUGAGUGAAGAAGGCCUUUGGGUUGUAAAGCUCUUUCGUCGGGGAAGAAAAUGACUGUACCCGAAUAAGAAGGUCCGGCUAACUUCGUGCCAGCAGCCGCGGUAAUACGAAGGGACCUAGCGUAGUUCGGAAUUACUGGGCUUAAAGAGUUCGUAGGUGGUUGAAAAAGUUGGUGGUGAAAUCCCAGAGCUUAACUCUGGAACUGCCAUCAAAACUUUUCAGCUAGAGUUUGAUAGAGGAAAGCAGAAUUUCUAGUGUAGAGGUGAAAUUCGUAGAUAUUAGAAAGAAUACCAAUUGCGAAGGCAGCUUUCUGGAUCAAUACUGACACUGAGGAACGAAAGCAUGGGUAGCGAAGAGGAUUAGAUACCCUCGUAGUCCAUGCCGUAAACGAUGUGUGUUAGACGUUGGAAAUUUAUUUUCAGUGUCGCAGCGAAAGCGAUAAACACACCGCCUGGGGAGUACGACCGCAAGGUUAAAACUCAAAUGAAUUGACGGG
rnacentral:rRNA from 1 species